GAACGCACCUUGCGCCCUAUGAUAUUCCGUAGGGCAUGCCUGUUCGAGCGUCAUUCAAACCUUCAAGCUCUGCUUGGUGUUGGGCGUCUGUCCUGCCUCACGGCGCGGACUCGCCUCAAAUCUAUUGGCGGCCGGCACGUUGGCUUCGAGCGCAGCAGAAACGCGAACUCGGGCCCGACGGAUCGGCUCCCAGAAGCUACCCCCAUGAAUUUGACCUCGGAUCAGGUAGGGAUACCCGCUGAACUUAAG
rnacentral:misc_RNA from 1 species